rnacentral:rRNA from 1 species
AGUGCGACUGAAAAGGGAUGAGCCCAGCGCAUAAGCCCAGUUCUCCGAACGCUCAAAUGGGCGGUGUUGCGUUUCAGAGCGUUGAAGGUUGUUGGAUCCCUGCACCGUCUAAAUUGCAUGUUGGAAGAAGUUACAUAUCCCCACAGAUGGUGAAAGGCCAGUAAGGCGGAACGUCUUGGAUGACGCUUGGGAACCAAAGACUAACAGCGCUCUGUAGAGUCGGGUUGCUUUGCAUAGCAGCCUAAAGAAGGUGGUAAACUCCAUCUAAGGCUAAAUACGACCAUGAGACCGAUAGUGGACAAGUACCGUGAGGGAAAGUUGAAAAGGACUUUGAAGAGAGAGUUCAAUAGCACGUGAAACUGUUGUGAGCCUAAACGGGUGGAACAUAGAAGAUCGAAAAGAGGGGAUUUCCGUUGUCCCUUUACUGGCCACGGUAGCGGGUUUAAGGAUGUCAAAGUCCGUUCCUGUAGCGCGCCUCUCGCAGGUUGGAAGGGACGUCGCCUCGGCGGCGGCCGGACCGUCUCUGCGAUGCGCGAGCGGGCCCUACUGUGGYGCCAGUGCCCUAUUGUACCUACUGUCUUUGGGACUCGUUGAGGGAAGCGGUAUCCUCCUCUAAGUAGAUCACUGCAACCAGUCAAAGGGGAGACAGUCGCCGCAAGGCGAAGAGGGUCGGUGUUACAGGCAGCCCCGUCGGCGCGCCGCGGCUUCCCUCGUGGUUCGCCGUCCCAGGAGCGCCGGCGGGUGAUCCCUGCCCGGCAUACAUAGUCUCUCCCGCUGAGCAAUAGCGCGGAGAGAGGUAUCCCAGUCUCCCUUUAGCUGUUGAGUCCGGAUGCCUCACGGCGUCCUUGCAGUGUUACAAUUGUCGGUUGUCUACCCGACCCGUCUUGAAACACGGACCAAGGAGUCUAGCAUGUGUGCAAGUCAUUGGAUUGCUCAAAUCUAAAGGCGCAAUGAAGGUGAGAGUACUGCCGCAGCGGCUGCUGCUGCUGCUCUCGUAGUAGCCAGCCAGCCAGUCGCUGCUGCUGUUUUACCAUGGGCAGAUCCCUUAGGCGGUCCGCCGCUGCCCGCGGGCCGCGUGUUGGAGGUGGCGGGUGGGUGAGCCAUUUUCCCCGCCCGUCUCACUCUCCGGCCCCUCGCGGUGUCUCAGGGGCGGGCCGGCCGACCAUAACUACUCCUGUGAGAGGGGGCGCAGGCCCGGGACUUGUCAAUACGGCACACGCCUCCUCCUCCCUUCCGGGCGAUAAAGGCAUGAUCCAGUUGACUGGGUGUAGUCCCAAGUUUCGGAGGGAUGCUUGGGGAGGGCCGUGUAGUCGACAAGUACCUUGAGCAUACAUGUUAGUACCCGAAAGAUGGUGAACUAUGCCUGGCCAGGAUGAAGCCAGAGGAAACUCUGGUGGAGGUCCGAAGCGGCUCUGACGUGCAAAUCGAUCGUCUGAGUUGGGUAUAGGGGCGAAAGACCAAUCGAACCAUCUAGUAGCUGGUUCCCCCCGAAGUUUCCCUUAGGAUAGCUGGUGCUCAGGGAGUGAUUUACAUCCGGUAAAGAGAAUGAUUGGAGGAAUUGGGGGUGUAAUGCCCUCAAACUACUCUCAAACUUUAAAUGGGUGAGAUGCCAUGCUUGCUUGACCAGUGAAGCAUCGGCGAUAAAUCAGAGUACCAAGUGGGCCAAUUUUGGUAAGCAGAACUGGCGCUGUGGGAUGCACCAAAAGUGUGAGUUAAGGGGCCUGACUGAAAGCUAAGUGGUACCAUAAAAGGUGUCGGUUGCUAUAGACAGCAGGGCGGUGGCCAUGGAAGUUGGAAUCCGCUAAGGAGUGUGUAACAACUCACCUGCCGAAGCAACCUGCCCUGAAAAUGGAAUGGCACUAAAGCAUUCAAUAUGCCCGAUACUCAACCGCCAGAACAGAUACAAUGGCACUAUGACAAGAGGUGGWCGGCUCGCCGCCACUAAUCUUGUUCGAAGCCCUGGCGGGUAGGGGGGCGUGGCGGUAAGCGCUGAAGGGCAGAGCGUGAGCUUGCCUGGAGCUGCCGCUAGUGCAGAUCUUGGUGGUAGUAGCAAACACAGUCUAGAGGGUUGUUCCUGGAGGUCCGCUGGGAGGAAGGGUUCCAUGUCUACACCGAAUGGGCAUGGGUUAGUCAGUCCUGAACCCAAGUCUAAAUAGACUUAUAUUACACAAGGGAUCCUUGUGGACGUAAGAUUGCUGCUGCUGAGGAGGAGGAGGAGGAUGAUGGUCCUAUGGGCGUCUAUCCAUCCAUCCAUC